GACGAACGCUGGCGGCGUGCUUAACACAUGCAAGUCGAACGGAAAGGCCCUGCUUUUGUGGGGUGCUCGAGUGGCGAACGGGUGAGUAACACGUGAGUAACCUGCCCUUGACUUUGGGAUAACUUCAGGAAACUGGGGCUAAUACCGGAUAGGAGCUCCUGCUGCAUGGUGGGGGUUGGAAAGUUUCGGCGGUUGGGGAUGGACUCGCGGCUUAUCAGCUUGUUGGUGGGGUAGUGGCUUACCAAGGCUUUGGCGGGUAGCCGGCCUGAGAGGGUGACCGGCCACAUUGGGACUGAGAUACGGCCCAGACUCCUACGGGAGGCAGCAGUGGGGAAUAUUGCACAAUGGGCGGAAGCCAGAUGCAGCAACGCCGCGUGCGGGAUGACGGCCUUCGGGUUGUAAACCGCUUUCGCCUGUGACGAAGCGUGAGUGACGGUAAUGGGUAAAGAAGCACCGGCUAACUACGUG
rnacentral:rRNA from 1 species